CUGAGCCUGUAGGUCGGUGGGAUGUCAUUGUGUGUCCUGCGUGAGAAUGUCCGACUCGAAAGGAGACAGGUCUGUGUGAAAGACAAAAGACUCAAAGAACUGCCCAUGGUUGGAUAUUCAGCCAAGACACAAUCCUAGGAUUUGUAGAUGAAAACAAAAAGAUGACAGUAAGCAGAUGUGAAAUGGAAUGGAUCUGCUCAUUAUUUCUCUUCGGCUCUCUUCUCAAUGGAAAUCUGACUAUCGAGAUUCCUCCCUCUCUCCCCCCACAAGAACAACACACUCAAUCAUCGGCAAAAGAGUUACCAUUUAAAAGGUAUGAAACAAUUUUAUUCCCCCCCAACAUACCUAUGUAAGUAUAGAUAAAUAAAUACUAAGAACAAUG
rnacentral:lncRNA from 1 species